rnacentral:rRNA from 2 species
UUCCGGUUGAUCCUGCCGGAGGCUACUGCUAUCGGGGUCCGACUAAGCCAUGCGAGUUGAGAGGGGUAAGCCCUCGGCAUAUUGCUCAGUAACACGCGGAUAACCUGCCCUUGGGUUUGGGAUAACCCCGGGAAACUGGGACUAAUACCGGAUAGAUCAAAGAAACUGGAAUGUUCUCUGAUCGAAAGCUCCGGCGCCCAAGGAUGGGUCUGCGGCCUAUCAGGUAGUAGUGGGUGUAACGUACCUACUAGCCUACGACGGGUAAGGGUUGUGAGAGCAAGAGCCCUGAGAUGGAUUCUGAGACAUGAAUCCAGGCCCUACGGGGUGCAGCAGGCGCGAAAACUUUACACUGCGGGAAACCGCGAUAAGGGGACCCCGAGUGCCAGCACCUAGUGCUGGCUGUCCAGCUGUUCAAAUAACAGUUGUUAGCAAGGGCCGGGCAAGACCGGUGCCAGCCGCCGCGGUAACACCGGCGGCCCGAGUGGUAGCCGUUAUUAUUGGGUUUAAAGGGUCCGUAGCCGGCCUAUUAAGUCUCUUGGGAAAUCUGGCGACUCAAUCGUCAGGCGUUCAAGAGAUACUGGUAGGCUUGGGACCGGGAGAGGUGGGAGGUACUCCAGGGGUAGGGGUGAAAUCUCGUAAUCCUUGGGGGACCACCGAUGGCGAAGGCAUCCCACCAGAACGGGUCCGACGGUGAGGGACGAAAGCUGGGGGCACGAACCGGAUUAGAUACCCGGGUAGUCCCAGCCGUAAACGAUGCUCGCUAGGUGUCAGGUGCGGUGCGACCGCAUCUGGUGCCGCAGUGAAAACUUGAAGCGAGUCACCUGGGAAGUACGGUCGCAAGGCUGAAACUUAAAGGAAUUGGCGGGGGAGCACUACAACGGGUGGAGCCUGCGGUUCAAUUGGAUUCAACGCCGGG